AUCUGGAGAGCUGGAGAGAAAAUGAGCUUUUAAGAUCCUUCAAGUCUACCCUGAAUCUCCAAGGUGGCUGUUUUUGAACACUUCUACCAGGAAACUCUUUUUAGAGGAGCAGGUAGUGAAAGCAGGACUCACUUUGGAAAAUGCUCUCCUAGGUGACCCACAAGGGAGAGAGCUGGACAUUCCUGACAGAGUGCCACCGAGUACCAUUGAAGGACCUUGUCGUCAUUGUCAUUCUCCCAUCACGGAGACAUGGGUACACCUCGGGGAAGGUUUUCUGGGAGUACAGCAAUAAACUCCCAUACAUUUCUGGAAGGUACAGUACCUCUUAGGCUGGCUGUGUCUACAUUUGGUAACCUAGGACCCUGUAGCGAUCAAGUCUGGCUUUUUUUUUUUUUUUUUUUGAGACGGAGUCUCACUCUGUCACCCAGGCUGGAGUGCAGUGGCGUGAUCUCGGCUCACUGCAAGCUCCACCUCCCAGGUCCACGCCAUUCUCCUGCCUCAGCCUCCUGAGUAGCUGGGACUACAGGCGCCCACCACCAUGCCUGGCUAAUUUUUUAUAUUUUUAGUAGAGAUGGGGUUUCACCGUGUUCGCCAGGAUGGUCUCGAUCUUCUGACCUCGUGAUCCACCCACCUCAGCCUCCCAAAGUGCUGGGAUUACAGGCAUGAGCCACCAAGCCCGGCCCCUCAAGUCCGGCUUUUAGGAGUGAUUUAGGAUUCUCGAAGAGAGAGGAGAGAAGCUGGCUGUUUCUCGGCACCCAAACACUGACCUUCCUCCGGCCACACAGCUGGCGCCUCCACCCUGCUAUCCGUGACAUCAUCAGCUCUUCUUGCAAAGACUGCAGUGAAACCAAAGGCACAUCCUUCUCAUAGGGUGUUGACGUUUUCUCUAAAUCCUUCUUACUCAAAGGCAAAUUUGAAAUUGUUUUACUUAUAACGGGGAUACAGGUUAAAUGAUAAAUGCCACAUAGUGGGCAUAUGUUUCAGGCCAGGUGCUAUGCUCAGAGUUCACACCUGCCUGAUACUGUGAGGAUUGGGCUACAGAUUCUAAACCACACUCUCCAUAGAGGACAUGGCAG
rnacentral:lncRNA from 1 species